GUACUUAUUUUUCAAGGGAGACACCAUAAUCGGGGAGGUGGCUUUUCCAGGGCGAUAGAUACUCACCCAUUGUACUCAGGUUGUGCUAACCCCCCACAAUUUCCACAAGUUUGAAAAACGACAGCAUAAUUUCUGUUAGUGGCAGACUGUGUUCACACUCUCCCC
ensembl:snRNA U1 U1 spliceosomal RNA